rfam:Alligator sinensis unplaced genomic scaffold scaffold277_1, whole genome shotgun sequence
CAAUUAAGAUGCAGGGCCACAGCAGACAUGUUUAUGUUGUGGUCCCUGUCGGAUUCUAAUGAAUCUGAGAAUUCUGCU